ACGCUGGCGGCACGCCUAAUACAUGCAAGUCGAACGAAGUAGCAAUACUUAGUGGCAGACGGGUGAGUAACAUGUGGGUAUCUUCCCUUUGGUGAGGAAUAACACGAGGAAACUUGUGCUAAUACCUCAUAAGUCUUUACGGAGAAAGCUUUAUGCGCCAUUGGAUGAGCCCGCACUUGAUUAGUUUGUUGGUGGGGUAAUGGCCUACCAAGACUGUGAUCAAUAGCUGAUUUGAGAGGAUGAUCAGCCACAUUGGGACUGAGACACGGCCCAAACUCCUACGGGAGGCAGCAGUAGGGAAUCUUGCACAAUGGAGGAAACUCUGAUGCAGCGAUGCCGCGUGAGUGAAGAAGGCCUUUGGGUUGUAAAGCUCUUUCGUCGGGGAAGAAAAUGACUGUACCCGAAUAAGAAGGUCCGGCUAACUUCGUGCCAGCAGCCGCGGUAAUACGAAGGGACCUAGCGUAGUUCGGAAUUACUGGGCUUAAAGAGUUCGUAGGUGGUUAAAAUAGUUGGUGGUGAAAUCCCAGAGCUUAACUCUGGAACUGCCAUCAAAACUUUUUAGCUAGAGUAUGAUAGAGGAAAGCAGAAUUUCUAGUGUAGAGGUGAAAUUCGUAGAUAUUAGAAAGAAUACCAAUUGCGAAGGCAGCUUUCUGGAUCAUUACUGACACUGAGGAACGAAAGCAUGGGUAGCGAAGAGGAUUAGAUACCCUCGUAGUCCAUGCCGUAAACGAUGUGUGUUAGACGUUGGAAAUUUAUUUUCAGUGUCGCAGCAAAAGCGAUAAACACACCGCCUGGGGAGUACGACCGCAAGGUUAAAACUCAAAUGAAUUGACGGGGACCCGCACAAGUAGUGGAGCAUGUGGUUUAAUUCGAAGAUACGCGCAGAACCUUACCAACACUUGACAUGUUCGUCGCAACUCUAAGAGAUUAGAGUUUUCGGUUCGGCCGGACGAAACACAGGUGCUGCAUGGCUGUCGUCAGCUCGUGUCGUGAGAUGUUGGGUUAAGUCCCGCAACGAGCGCAACCCUCACUUUUAGUUGCCAUCAUUAAGUUGGGCACUCUGAAAGAACUGCCAGUGAUAAGCUGGAGGAAGGUGGGGAUGACGUCAAGUCCUCAUGGCCCUUACGUGUUGGGCUACACACGUGCUACAAUGGCAUUUACAAUAGGAAGCAAAAUGGCGACAUUAAGCGAAUCCUAAAAAAAUGCCUCAGUUCGGAUUGUACUCUGCAACUCGAGUACAUGAAGCUGGAAUUACUAGUAAUCGCGGAUCAGCGCGCCGCGGUGAAUACGUUCCCGGGUCUUGUACACACCGCCCGUCACACCAUGGGAGUUGGUUCUACCUUAAGGCAAAGUUUAAAACCUUUGACCACGGUAUAGUCAGCGACUGGGGUGAAGUCGUAACAAGGUAGCCGUAGGGGAACCUGCGGCUGGAUUACCUCCUUUCU
rnacentral:rRNA from 1 species